rnacentral:rRNA from 1 species
UACGAAGGGGGCUAGCGUUGUUCGGAAUUACUGGGCGUAAAGGGCGCGUAGGCUGUGCUGUAAGUCAGGCGUGAAAUCCCCGGGCUCAACCUGGGAAUUGCGCAUGAUACUGCGGCGCUUGAAGACGGGAGAGGAUGGCGGAAUUCCCAGUGUAGAGGUGAAAGUCGUAGAUAUUGGGAAGAACACCAGUGGCGAAGGCGGCCGGCUGGGCAGUGGCUGACACUGAGGCGCGACAGCGUGGGGAGCAAACAGG